UUGUGUUAGGGAUUGAAACGGCAUCCUUUUUGCUUUUCGCAAAAAGAUAUAGUGAAAAGCCCGACCUUUU
rnacentral:sRNA from 1 species